CGGUGCCGCCGGAACACUUUUCUUCUUAUUUUUAUUUUUUAUUUUUUUUGGUGUUAAACACUAAAUCCACCCUCAAAACACCCAAAAUCAAACCCAAGAAACUGUUUUUUCGAAUCCAAAUCCGAACCAAGACAAAAAGCAAUUAUUCAAAAUAUUUGAUCUAAGUUCUGUGAUUCGUUUUUUUAUUCUGGUAAACACACAAAAAUCAAAACAAACCCAAAAGGAAGACUUUUAAACAAAAUAGGGAAAAAAAGAUAAGUUAAGGUCGAACUAACCCUUGAAGACCAAAAGAUUCGGACUCCUCUUCUUCACUGCUUUCUUUCUUUGAUAUAUUUUUACUCUUGUGAAAAUUUUAUGUGUUUUCUCUCAAUUGAAAUUUUCUCUUCUCCUUUUUUUUUCUUUUCUGCGUGUGUUUUGGCUCUAUUUAUAGAGCUUUCAAGAUCAAAGUUGACAUUUGAUCUAGAGUGUGAAAGGGAUGUACUGUUGCUUGUUGUAGUUAAAGUUGCAGCAAAAGGUGAAGAGAAAGAGGAGGCAAGGAGGCGCAGCAGUACCGGUUGCAGUACUGUUGCGUGUUUUUUUUUCUUUUUUUGUAUUGUUUAAAAUUAAA